GAUGAACGCUGGCGGCGUGCCUAAUACAUGCAAGUCGAGCGAACGGACGAGAAGCUUGCUUCUCUGAUGUUAGCGGCGGACGGGUGAGUAACACGUGGAUAACCUCCCUAUAAGACUGGGAUAACUUCGGGAAACCGUAGCUAAUACCGGAUAAUAUUUUGCACCGCAGGGUUCAAAAGUGAAAGACGGUGUUGCUGUCAAUUAUAGAUGGAUCCGCGCUGCAUUAGCUAGUUGGUAAGGUAACGGGUUACCAAGGGAACUAUGCAUAGCCGACCUGUGAGGGUGAUCGCCCACACUGGAACUGAGACACGGUCCAGGCUCCUACGGGAGGCAGCAGUAGGGAAUCUUCCGCAGUGGUCGAAAGCCUGACGGAGCAACGCCGCGUGAGUGAUGAAGGUCUUCGGAGCGUAAAACUCUGUUAUUAGGGAAGAACAUAUGUGUAAGUAACUGUGCACAUCUUGACGGUACCUAAUCAGAAAGCCACGGCUAACUACGUG
rnacentral:rRNA from 1 species